rnacentral:rRNA from 1 species
UACGUAGGGGGCAAGCGUUGUCCGGAUUUAUUGGGCGUAAAGAGCGUGUAGGCGGCCAUACAGGUCAGCUGUGAAAACUCGAGGCUCAACCUCGAGACGUCGGUUGAAACCGUAUGGCUAGAGUCCGGAAGAGGGGAGUGGAAUUCCCGGUGUAGCGGUGAAAUGCGCAGAUAUCGGGAAGAACACCCGUGGCGAAGGCGGCUCUCUGGGACGGUACUGACGCUGAGACGCGAAAGCGUGGGGAGCGAACAGG